UUUUGUUAAAACAAAUCUAUUAAAAAUAAUAAUAAUUUCUCUCAAACUGUACGUGGUGGAAUUAGAGUUGGGGGUGGAAAAAAAUACAUAAAUGAGGCUCUAUGGAGCAGUCACUUCGUCUGCAAGCACCAGAUUAUUCUCCUCUUUUCCUACUGCAAAGCAAGGGGUGAGAGUCCCAAACUACUGACCAAACAUAGUAUUUCAGUGAGUUUAUAGUUCAGUUUCAGUGAUAGCUAAAUUUCAACAAAACAAAAUAAAGUUAUAGGCUAUAUGCUUUUUAAACCAUCUAAAUCAUUCUGAAACAAAUACAGACUAUGUGUUUUUAUUUCAGAAUGAUCUUUAUUCAUUAAUUUCAAUUUAUCUUUUUUUCCAUAAUAAUAGAUUAAUUCAACACAGAGCUGCUCACCUCCUUCCUCAGUUGUGGGUAGGCCUACUGGGGCUGGUUCAGGGGUAGGUGGGGGUACUGGGGCUGGUUCAGGGGUAGGGGGGCUCACAGGGCUCACAGACCGCCGUGGCUGCGGCUGCUGCUGCACUUGACGUGUCUGUUCAAACAUGCAUCAUUUUUGACAGGAGGGGUGGUCAACUGAUUAAAUAUGGGCAGCUUGCUAAAUGUGAACAGUGAAAUCUAAAAAUCCAGAGUUUUCUUCCCAAAUAUGAGCUAAUAUGGGGAGAAAGUGAGCUAGCUUAGAAACCACAAGGUUAAGAUAAACAACAGACUAAUGUGUUCCAGAACUUUCCACCACAUGAACCAAACCCACCUUGUUUUUGGAAAAACUGGGUGACAUACUGACGCCCCUUUGCUUCUCUCUCCUGCCUAAUCUUUUUGUCUUUCCUUUUUUGGCUACCCGACUUCUCUCGGUCUCCUUACUGACUGAAUACACCCACACCGCGCAGCAUUUCAGUUGAUUCGAUGGGAGGACCGAACCAUUUUACUCAAGGGGGGCCUUGAGAAAUGUUUCCAAAAUAAACUUAGUGUUAUUAUCAGUGCAUUAAGUGAUGCAUAUUUAUGAUUAUAAACAAAAAAUUAGUGUCAUAUUAUUUUUGUCAGUGUUAUAAUAUUAUUAGGGGCCUUUCUGGGCCCCUGUCAAUGAUGGGCCCCUAGAAUCCUUCCCCUUAUCCCCCCCUUUUCGGUGCCCC
rnacentral:lncRNA from 1 species